UUAAUUUUGUAUCAGUAUUGAAAUGUAAUUUUGCGAUUUCUGUUUUGUUUGAUAUUGUAUGUUUCAAGUUUAAAGCUCCGUAAGAGAGGCUUUUGUAACAUAGGUAGGUAUUACGUAUUGUACUUGAAAAUUUUUGAGAAAAAUUUUGAAAAACGGGGGAAGUGAUGUAGCGACACAUGUUAUAGUCACGUUUUGCAAUGUCAGCUUUCUAGUAACUUCCAGUAGCGAACAAUGCGCAGACGCUAGUCGUCUCGCGCCCGUCACUUAGAACACACUUAAGAAAAUGUAAUUUGGUUCAGUAAAUAGUUUGGCCUCAAGAAA